GGAUUGGAGCCUGUUCUGAAACCCAACACAGGGAAACAGAAGAAGACCCAGGAAGAAAUCCAAGUUGAAAAGAAAGAAUUAGAUCGAGCCCGGAAAAAAACGAGGUGGAUUUCACAGGAGGAAGAGGAGGGAUGCAGAGUUAGCCAUUUCUGCUUGACAAAUGUCUGGAUGUUUAUUUGGCUAACAACAACAACCAAACUUCAGAUGACCACACAUCAUUUCCUGGUCCAUUCCAGUGUUGUUGGUAACGCAGAUCGAGAAGCUGACUUUGGGGAAGGUCUGAGACGCAGUGGAUUCUGGAAGACUCCUAUUCAGGUUUUKUAAAAUAGGUCAGAAACUUUCCCAGACACAGGGGAAUAUGGAGGAAUCAUCUUUCAACAACAAUGUAUUUACCUGUGCAAAUAAAUAACAGAUUUAUUUUACCCACAUGUCAAAUAAAGCAUAUAUUUAAUAAUC